GACGAACGCUGGCGGCGUGCCUAAUACAUGCAAGUAGAACGCUGAAGAGAGGAGCUUGCUCUUCUUGGAUGAGUUGCGAACGGGUGAGUAACGCGUAGGUAACCUGCCUUGUAGCGGGGGAUAACUAUUGGAAACGAUAGCUAAUACCGCAUAACAAUGGAUGACACAUGUCAUUUAUUUGAAAGGGGCAAUUGCUCCACUACAAGAUGGACCUGCGUUGUAUUAGCUAGUAGGUGAGGUAAUGGCUCACCUAGGCGACGAUACAUAGCCGACCUGAGAGGGUGAUCGGCCACACUGGGACUGAGACACGGCCCAGACUCCUACGGGAGGCAGCAGUAGGGAAUCUUCGGCAAUGGGGGCAACCCUGACCGAGCAACGCCGCGUGAGUGAAGAAGGUUGUCGGAUCGGAAAGCUCUGUUGUAAGUCAAGAACGGGGGUGAGAGUGGAAAGUUCACACUGUGACGGUAGCUUACCAGAAAGGGACGGCUAACUACGUG
rnacentral:rRNA from 1 species